ensembl:lncRNA
CUGCAAAUGAGUAAUUGACCUUCCCAGCAGAAGGACAACAGAAUUCUUACAGUGGGUUGGCCUACAGCUCCCCAGCUGUAGGAGCGAGCACUGUGCUUUGGUUAAUGUGACAGGCGUCCCAUAAAUCAUCUGUGCUUAUCAGAGCCCCUGUUGACCAUCUGCUGUUGAACUUCAGGUCAGUGAGCAAUGCUGUGACUUCUCAGGCCAGCACGCUCUUCCAUAGCAUGUGGGAUUGUUUUUCGUGAGCCUGUCAGGAUUUUUGAAGCCUCAACUUUAAAUCAGGGCCCGAGAAAGAAGAGGACAUGUUGGGGUCAGUGCACGAGAGACUGGGUCUUAUUUUCUCUUUCCAGCUCUCCCUGCCUGCCUGGAUGCUUCUGUCCAUUCUGGCCACUAUGCUGUUGGGGACUUUUUAUGGAAUUGAAAUAUUUGUUAAACUGGUCCAGAGUAGAUAUGUGGGGAGGCAGGAUCCUGCCUGUUGACCUAAAUCCAGGCCCCCUGAACCUCUCUCUCUGCUCUCUAGGAAGCCAACAGGAGCUGGGCUGCCAAUCAAAGGGCUGUCCCUGAUGGCAUAGUGGUCUGGCGGCCCACCCCCUGCCUGCCUCUCCAUCACCAAGCUCCAGGAACACUGCCUCCUUGCCAUUUCCUGAAUGAACCUGGGUCUUCUUUGAUGUCCCUUGAGGACAGCUCCUUCUCGUGCAGCAGGAGAGAUCCCCUCUCCCCAACCCUUCCUUGGAGACUGUCCUUGGCACCAGGCCCAAUGACCUCUCCUCCCCAGGCCCUUCUAGCACCUUGCCUGCCUGACUGCCCACCCCUCACCUCACUGGUCUUAUCUUAAUGAAAGUGAAAAGUGAAAAUGAAGUCACUCAGUCGUGUCCGACUCUUUGCGACCCCAUGGACUGUAGCCUACCAGGCUCCUCCGUCCAUGGGAUUCUCCAGGCAAGAAUCCUGGAGUGGGUUGCCAUUUCCUUCUCC